UACGGGGGGAGCAAGCGUUGUUCGGAUUUACUGGGCGUAAAGGGCGGGUAGGCGGCCACCGCAAGUCAGUUGUGAAAUCUCUGGGCUUAACCCAGAAAGGUCAACUGAUACUGCGGGGCUAGAGUGCAGAAGGGGCAACUGGAAUUCCCGGUGUAGCGGUGAAAUGCGUAGAUAUCGAGAGGAACACCUGCGGCGAAGGCGGGUUGCUGGGCUGACACUGACGCUGAACUGCGAAAGCUAGGGGAGCGAACGGG
rnacentral:rRNA from 1 species